UAGGAAAUCUUCGGCAAUGGGGGGAACCCUGACCGAGCAACGCCGCGUGAGUGAAGAAGGUUUUCGGAUCGUAAAGCUCUGUUGUUAAGGAAGAACGAGUGUGAGAAUGGAAAGUUCAUGCUGUGACGGUACUUAACCAGAAAGGGACGGCUAACUACGUGCCAGCAGCCGCGGUAAUACGUAGGUCCCGAGCGUUGUCCGGAUUUAUUGGGCGUAAAGCGAGCGCAGGCGGUUAGAAAAGUCUGAAGUGAAAGGCAGUGGCUCAACCAUUGUAGGCUUUGGAAACUGUUUAACUUGAGUGCAGAAGGGGAGAGUGGAAUUCCAUGUGUAGCGGUGAAAUGCGUAGAUAUAUGGAGGAACACCGGUGGCGAAAGCGGCUCUCUGGUCUGUAACUGACGCUGAGGCUCGAAAGCGUGGGGAGCGAACAGG
rnacentral:rRNA from 1 species